rnacentral:rRNA from 1 species
GUAAAAAAUGUAACAAGGUCUCCGUUGGUGAACCAGCGGAGGGAUCAUUACCGAGUUUACAACUCCCAAACCCCAAUGUGAACGUUACCAAACUGUUGCCUCGGCGGGAUUUCUGCCCCGGGCGCGUCGCAGCCCCGGACCAAGGCGCCCGCCGGAGGACCAAUUUACAAACUCUUUUGUAUAUCCCAUCGCGGAUUCUUUACAUUCUGAGCUUUCUCGGCGCUCCUAGCGAGCGUUUCGAAAAUGAAUCAAAACUUUCAACAACGGAUCUCUUGGUUCUGGCAUCGAUGAAGAACGCAGCGAAAUGCGAUAAGUAAUGUGAAUUGCAGAAUUCAGUGAAUCAUCGAAUCUUUGAACGCACAUUGCGCCCGCCAGUAUUCUGGCGGGCAUGCCUGUCCGAGCGUCAUUUCAACCCUCGAACCCCUCCGGGGGGUCGGCGUUGGGGAUCGGCACUUACCUGCCGGCCCCGAAAUACAGUGGCGGUCUCGCCGCAGCCUCUCCUGCGCAGUAGUUUGCACACUCGCACCGGGAGCGCGGCGCGUCCACGGCCGUAAAACAACCCAAACUUCUGAAAUGUUGACCUCGGAUCAGGUAGGAAUACCCGCUGAACUUAAGCAUAUCAAUAAGCGGAGGA